rnacentral:rRNA from 1 species
AGUGAACGCUGGCGGUAGGCCUAACACAUGCAAGUCGAACGGCAGCACAGUAAGAGCUUGCUCUUACGGGUGGCGAGUGGCGGACGGGUGAGGAAUACAUCGGAAUCUACUUUUUCGUGGGGGAUAACGUAGGGAAACUUACGCUAAUACCGCAUACGACCUACGGGUGAAAGCAGGGGAUCUUCGGACCUUGCGCGAUUGAAUGAGCCGAUGUCGGAUUAGCUAGUUGGCGGGGUAAAGGCCCACCAAGGCGACGAUCCGUAGCUGGUCUGAGAGGAUGAUCAGCCACACUGGAACUGAGACACGGUCCAGACUCCUACGGGAGGCAGCAGUGGGGAAUAUUGGACAAUGGGCGCAAGCCUGAUCCAGCCACACCGCGUGGGUGAAGAAGGCCUUCGGGUUGUAAAGCCCUUUUGUUGGGGAAGAAAAGCAGCAGGUUAAUACCCCGCUGUUCUGACGGUACCCAAAGAAUAAGCACCGGCUAACUUCGUG